AUUGAACGCUGGCGGCAGGCCUAACACAUGCAAGUCGAGCGGAUGAAGGGAGCUUGCUCCUGGAUUCAGCGGCGGACGGGUGAGUAAUGCCUAGGAAUCUGCCUGGUAGUGGGGGAUAACGUCCGGAAACGGGCGCUAAUACCGCAUACGUCCCGAGGGAGAAAGUGGGGGAUCUUCGGACCUCACGCUAUCAGAUGAGCCUAGGUCGGAUUAGCUAGUUGGUGGGGUAAAGGCCUACCAAGGCGACGAUCCGUAACCGGUCUGAGAGGAUGAUCAGUCACACUGGAACUGAGACACGGUCCAGACUCCUACGGGAGGCAGCAGUGGGGAAUAUUGGACAAUGGGCGAAAGCCUGAUCCAGCCAUGCCGCGUGUGUGAAGAAGGUCUUCGGAUUGUAAAGCACUUUAAGUCGGGAGGAAGGGCAGUAAGUUAAUACCUUGCUGUUUUGACGUUACCAACAGAAUAAGCACCGGCUAACUUCGUG
rnacentral:rRNA from 1 species